CCGUCGAAGACUACGACGUUGAUAGGUUGGGUGUGUAAGCGCUGUGAGGCGUUGAGCUAACCAAUACUAAUUGCCCGUGAGGCUUGACCAU
rnacentral:rRNA from 1 species